rnacentral:rRNA from 1 species
GACGAACGCUGGCGGCGUGCUUAACACAUGCAAGUCACGGGGGCGCAGUAGCAAUACUGCGCAACCGGCGAACGGGUGCGUAACACGUGAGCAAUCUGCCGAUCUCUGGGGGAUAGCCGGCCCAACGGCCGGGUAAUACCGCAUACGCUCAUCGGGGGACAUCCCCUGGUGAGGAAACCUCCGGGGGAGAUCGAGGAGCUCGCGACCUAUCAGCUAGUUGGCGAGGAAUGGCUCACCAAGGCUACGACGGGUAGCUGGUCUGAGAGGAUGGCCAGCCACAUUGGGACUGCGACACGGCCCAGACUCCUACGGGAGGCAGCAGUGGGGAAUAUUGCGCAAUGGACGAAAGUCUGACGCAGCGACGCCGCGUGGGGGAUG